rnacentral:rRNA from 1 species
AACGAACGCUGGCGGCAUGCCUAACACAUGCAAGUCGAACGAGACCUUCGGGUCUAGUGGCGCACGGGUGCGUAACGCGUGGGAACCUGCCCUUAGGUUCGGAAUAACUCCCCGAAAGGGGUGCUAAUACCGGAUAAGGUCUUCGGACCAAAGAUUUAUCGCCUUUGGAUGGGCCCGCGUUGGAUUAGCUGGUUGGUAGGGUAAAAGCCUACCAAGGGGACGAUCCAUAGCUGGUCUGAGAGAAUGGUCAGCCACACUGGGACUGAGACACGGCCCAGACUCCUACGGGAGGCAGCAGUGGGGAAUAUUGGACAAUGGGCGAAAGCCUGAUCCAGCAAUGCCGCGUGAGUGAUGAAGGCCGUAGGGUUGUAAAGCUCUUUUACCCGGGAUGAUAAUGACAGUACCGGGAGAAUAAGCUCCGGCUAACUCCGUG